UAUCAGGAUAAGAAGUUUGUGGAUAAGAUGGUAUCUCAUGAGCAUCAUGUAAUUGAUAUUUACAAAACAAUCUGAGAAAAAGGAUCAACUAGAAUUGCAUGAGAAUUGUUUUGAAAUGGAAAAUUAAGUUCAUGAAAUACCACAUCCCUGGAAUAUAACACUUGAUUAGACUUCAUGUCCGAGAACUUGUAUGCUAUCAAUUACAACAUCUGCCGUUGUUUUCAAAUUUUGGAUUUCAACACGCAAAACUUGGCAUAUGUGAAAAUGAAGUAAAAAAAAAUACAAGUUAAAAAGGAUCAGGUUAUUGAUGAUAUGAGGUAAAGACAAUGGUAAACAAGUAUAUGUUGCCUGUUAGAUUGAUGCAAUGCAUUCGGGAUUCAAGCGACCAAUAUCUUCGUUUUCGUUUUCAGAAAUGGCGUGAAGACGUGCGUGCAGUCUUCUGAAAUUGGAUGUGAAUCGAGCUCAACGAUUGCUUCUUCCUCUCGAAAACCCUAGCCGACCUUCACACUAUCUCUGUCGUUUUCUCUCGGGAUUCCAAGCUAAAAAGAAAAAAAAGGAACGGUUCAAAUGGUCAAUGGGGAGGGUACUUAGGGUAAGGAUCAAA